UACGUAGGGUGCAAGCGUUGUCCGGAAUUAUUGGGCGUAAAGAGCUCGUAGGCGGUUUGUCGCGUCUGCUGUGAAAACUCAGGCUUAACCCUGAGCCUGCAGUGGGUACGGGCAGACUAGAGUGUGGUAGGGGAGAUCGGAAUUCCUGGUGUAGCGGUGGAAUGCGCAGGAUAUCAGGAGGAACACCGGUGGCGAAGGCGGAUCUCUGGGCCAUAACUGACGCUGAGGAGCGAAAGCAUGGGGAGC
rnacentral:rRNA from 1 species